GUAGGGGCAUCUUUCCCUGAGAAGAAGUUGGCUAGCAGGAGUCCUGGCUUGAUUAACUCGUCAUAGAGUUCUUCAUCAAAUCGGCCGGUAGCCGAAUCAAAGCAAGUUGGGAGUUCAAAGACCGGAUCAUCCCGCUGAUAAGGAAACCAAAUGGUUGCAUCUUCAUUAAAUCUGUUAUAAAAGCAUCGAAAGUACUCGGCUACCUUUGUAGCAGAAUACGUG
rnacentral:lncRNA from 1 species